UCAGACGGCCACAGCAGAGGGGUUCACCCGGUCCCAUCUCGAACCCGGAAGUAAGCCCUCUCGCGUAUCUGUCGCGUACUGUAUUGCGCAAGUGUACGGGAAAGCAGACACGCUGUCUACC
rnacentral:rRNA from 1 species